UGGGUGAUCUCCGGUGAAAUAAAUGAAGCUGCUGUCUCGAGGUGGCCCAACCCACUAUUCCAGGAGCACUAGAGAAUACCAGGAAGAAAAAGAUACCUACAGGAUAUCGAUUUUAAAGGAUAAAUAAUGUUGCCAGAGCUUGUGAGAAGUGAGAUGGAUUCUCUGCUCUUCCACGGCCACUCCAUGCCACAGGACAUUGGCUGCUGUAGGCAGCACCACCAGAUUCUCUUGCUGAAGCUCCUGCUGGAUUCUCAUAAGGGUUCCACCACAUCUGGCCCCUUGAUGUUGGGGUGGGAGUAGCUCCCUAAGGAAAAGUUGACUACCAGAUGCCUGUUACCAUGGCUCCAGAGCCCACUAAAGCUUUGAGUUCCUCCAGGAGAGGGUGGGUUUUGGCAGCUCCCCCUGCUGUUCGAACAACCCAGAAGCCAGGACACACCCUGCUGAUUUAGGAACGCUGGAGAGGAGCAUUUGCUGGAAACAUCUCUUCUGUUAUUCAGUGGCCAAGUGACCAAUUACUUCUAAGACAGUGAUUUCAUGAGAUGAUAGAGCGUGGUGGUUUAAGAAGUUGUUUUAAAUAAACU